ACCUACCAGUGCGUGACACUUCGUAGAGUGAUCAUCACCAUGCUGGUCGCCACCGCCGUCUGCUGUUACCUCUUCUGGCUCAUCGCCAUCCUGGCGCAGCUGAACCCCCUGUUCGGGCCCCAGCUGAAGAAUGAGACCAUCUGGUACGUGCGCUUCCUGUGGGAGUGACCUGCCGCCCCCGACCCAGGUGCCCAGCUCUCGGAAUGACUGUGGCCCCACUGUCCCUGACAACCCCUUCGUCCGGACCCUCCCCCACACAACUAUGUCUGGUCACCAGCUCCCUCCUGCUGGCACCCAGAGACCCGGACCCGCAGGGCCUGCCUGGUUCCUGGAAGUCUUCCCAGUCUUCCCAGCCAGCCCGGGCCCUGGGGAGCCCUGGGCACAGCAGCGGCCGAGGGGAUGUCCUGCUCCAAUACCCGCACUGCUCUGGCGUUUGCCCUCUUUCCCAAGGAGAUGCUGCUGGGGAGCUGGUAUG
rnacentral:sRNA from 1 species